rnacentral:lncRNA from 1 species
CUCCCUCUCUCCCUCCCUUCCUACUAAAAACCAAUAAGGCUAGGGAGCCUAUCUGCAUAGUUCUGUGAAUGUCUCGGAACAAAGCAAUACACAGAAGCUAAUGCUCUCAUCCUGUGUAAGAUACAAAUCUUGUCACAUCAUGGACCAUCGUGGAGCAUGAAGCUAUUUCUAAUGUGAUGGGGGAAAUGUUUCUAGCAGAAGAGCAAGACAUGGUCCUGGUGCAUGAAAGGAGCCUAAGAAAGAAGAGUGAAAGCUGCACGUGUGUGAGUAUCUAGCAGAACAUCUAGAAAAUGCACACCAACCUCCAGCAGCAGAAAACAGUCUACCUCCAGAAAGCCAUAAAAGAGAAAAGAAUGUUGUACCAAACUAAGCAAAUGAAGCAUGAAAUGAAAAGCCGGUUGAGCUGGGAGGUAUAAAGAAUGGAAAGGAAGCAGCUACCACCCCUGGUAACCCCAUCAAUCCGGAGAAGCUUCGCAGAGUUACACUGUGCUCUGUCGGGAAGGAAAUGAAUUUUCCUCAUUGUACACAUUCCGAGAAAAAUGAGGCUAAGACUAUUUCAAAGGAUGUUCUACCUAAUUCGAAUGGGCUUUAAGUGCCAUCUUCACAAUAGCGCCAGAGUCUGGUGUCAGCAAACUGAACAAAUAGAGCUACAGGGAGCGAAUGGGGCUGGGUGCCUCUCCAAAACAUAUGCAGAUGAACUUGAGAUUUCAGAGGACGGUUAAUCCUACACAGCAGUCAAGUGCCUUCCCAGGGGUAUGUCUCAGAUCUCAGGGCUCCCUUCCAAACACUGGCUGCCACGUCAAACCAAAGGGGACGAGCAAUCAGACUCACCUCAAACGCCAGUUAAGAAAGCCGGCCUUACUUAAGCAAUCAAGGGCAAGUGAUCAGCCAACUCUGCUUUCUUUCCUUUCUCUUGGAUCAUUUAUAGACCUUGUGGCCGUGGCCACCACAUUGAGAAGCCCUUGGUCUCUACUUGGACUCACUAUAGCAGAGCAUCCUGGCAGGCAUCCACUGUGCCAUAUGCUUUCGGGAAGUCUGGAUGCUGAAUGUGGUGGCUGUGGGGAAUUGAGCCUUAUUGCUUCAUAAGAUUCCUGGUGGUAGAACUAUUCUGAACAAGAACACGUCCGUCCCCAUAGGUGUGCUCCAAGAAUCACAGAAUAAGAAGGGACUUCGGAGAGAGCCUCACACAGUUGGGCAAUGGGAGCCCAGAGAGGCAAGGAAGGCUCCUUGCCCAAAGUCUUGUACAUCUGAAUCUGCAACUCCUGACUAUUUUUGAGUCUUAUGCUCCAGGCUAAAACUUGUGACUUUAAGUGUGAUGUUCUCGGUGAUGAUUAAUCUAGGAUGUUUCUGUUGUUUUCUUACCGUCAAAGAAUUAACAUCAAAAGGAAAGGAAGGAAGAAAUGUAGAAGUGAAGGCAAGAAGGAAGGAAGGAGGAAAGGAAGGAAGGAAAAUAUAGGCUUUGGGUAAAAAUAAGUUUCUACUCAACACUGACAAAGGUACAGGUUUUGGACAUUGGUUUCCUAAUCUGUAAAUGAGGAAUAGUCAUCACAUCGCUGUCCUGGCUGGUUUUGUGUGUCAACUUGACACAAGCUGGAGUUAUCACAGAGAAAGGAAAGAAAAUGCCUCCAUGAGAUCUAGCUGUAAAUGGAUUAGUGAUCAAGAGUGGGAGGGCCCAGUGUGGGUGGUGCCAUCCCUGGACUGGUGGUCCUGGGUUCUACAAGAAAACAAGCUGAGCAAGCCAGGGGAAGCAAGCCAGGGGAACAUCCCUCCACGGCUCUGCAUCAGCUCCUGCUUCCUGCCCUGUGUGAGUUCCAGUCCUGACUUCCUUUGGUGACGAACAGCAAUGUGAUAGUAUAAGCUGAAUAAACCCUUUCCUCCCCAAC